rnacentral:rRNA from 1 species
UACGGAGGGUGCAAGCGUUAUCCGGAUUCACUGGGUUUAAAGGGUGCGUAGGCGGGCAGUUAAGUCAGUGGUGAAAUCCUUGAGCUCAACUCGAGAACUGCCAUUGAUACUAUCUGUCUUGAAUAUUGUGGAGGUAAGCGGAAUAUGUCAUGUAGCGGUGAAAUGCUUAGAUAUGACAUAGAACACCUAUUGCGAAGGCAGCUUACUACGCAUAUAUUGACGCUGAGGCACGAAAGCGUGGGGAGCAAACAGG